GGCGUCUUUCUGAACCCCCUCGACCAUCCGAGCUUCCAUAAUACCAUCCAGACUUCUCCGCAAUGAGCUUCUCCGUUCAUCUACCGGGCCGUUCCAAAGGCUCUCUAGGCUUCACUAUCAGUCGAUUUUCUACAAUGAUUAACUAUUCUCCGAAUCCUUUCCAGACUUCUUCCGACCACGGACAACCCUACUCCAAACUUCUUCCGGACAUCGUCAAUAUCCGAUCUUCUCUGACAACGAGAUUUCUACAGUAACCAGACUCCAUCCAAGUUUCUACGAUGGUCGACCGCUUUUCGAAUUCCACCAGAGCUCCUGCGAGAGCCGAACUUCUAUAGCGAGCAGUCAACUCCAAACCUCUACUGCAAGCGGUCUAUUCCGAACUUCUACUACAAACGGUCUACUUCGAACUUCUACAGUGAGCGCUCUACUCCGAACUUCUACUACGAGCGGUCUACUCCAAACUUCUACAGCGAGCGGUCUACUCCAAACCACUACUGCAAGC
rnacentral:lncRNA from 1 species